GAUGAACGCUGGCGGCGUGCCUAAUACAUGCAAGUCGAGCGAAUUGAUUAGAAGCUUGCUUCUAUGACGUUAGCGGCGGACGGGUGAGUAACACGUGGGCAACCUGCCUGUAAGACUGGGAUAACUUCGGGAAACCGAAGCUAAUACCGGAUAGGAUCUUCUCCCUCAUGGGAGAUGAUUGAAAGACGGUUUCGGCUGUCACUUAUAGAUGGACCCGCGCCGUAUUAGCUAGUUGGUAAGGUAACGGCUUACCAAGGCGACGAUACGUAGCCGACCUGAGAGGGUGAUCGGCCACACUGGAACUGAGACACGGUCCAGACUCCUACGGGAGGCAGCAGUAGGGAAUCUUCCGCAAUGGGCGAAAGCCUGACGGAGCAACGCCGCGUGAGUGAUGAAGGUCUUCGGAUCGUAAGACUCUGUUGUUAGGGAAGAACAAAUUUGUUAGUAACUGAACAAAUCUUGACGGUACCUAACCAGAAAGCCACGGCUAACUACGUGCCAGCCGCCGCAGUAACAC
rnacentral:rRNA from 1 species